AGGACCGCUACUUUCAGACAGUCUGGGGGAUUUUUUCUUCAGUUCCAAGGGCCGAAUAGAGGAAAAAAAGCAAGCAAGGCAUCUUUGGCCAGAUGGAUAAGAGAUAAUAUCAAGCAUUGUUAUCAGCUUGAAGUAAUUGAUCUUCUUCCGCGUCAGUUAGAAAGCAUUAACCCAUUCGUGCCGCCUACAGACUCCAAGAAAAGAAAAUUUCAGGACAACCUUAUUCCUGGUUUGAUUUAAAUAUGUACCUGAAUGCAUUGACACGUAGUGAUGUCCAGAGGAAGUGGGUGCUGAUGCAGGAAAUGACUGUUACCAGGUAAACGCCCCUGAGGUCCAUCUGUGGCUCCCCAUUGCUCGUAUGUUUGUGCGCCAUAGCCAUA